GAAUGCUAAAAGAAUGGAAAUUUAAAAAAAAACUUUUUUAAAAAUAAAAAUUGAAUUUUUUUUAAUUUGUGCAAAAACAAUUAUUAUUAUUAAAGACAAGAAGACCCUAAGAAUUUAUGAUUUUGUAAUUAAAAUUUUUUUCAAAAAAUCUUGAUUGGGGCGAUCAAAAAAUAUUAAUAACUUUUUAAAUUUAAAUUGAUCUAUUAUUAAUAAACUAAUGAAUUAAAUACUCUAGGGAUAACAGCGUAAUAAUUUUUGAUAGAUCUUAUUGACAAAAUAGUUUGCGACCUCGAUGUUGGAUUAGGAUUCUUUUUUAAUGAAGAAGUUAAAAAA
rnacentral:rRNA from 1 species